GAGCGCUGGGCGCUGUAGCCGUGAGGGGAUGGGGAGCGCGGAGCUGUAGCGGGCAGAGAUGGGGCCGGUUGCGGUAACGCGCUCCGUGUCACAGAAAGUUUGAGCCCCCGGGGCGGUGCGUGGGCCUCUCCUGCACUCUUCUCCCGGUUUUCCCGGAUGGCACCUUUGUCGUCUCCCUCGGAACGCUGGCUUUCCCUGCCCUAGCACGGAAUGACAAAGGAAGCUUCCCCAGGCUCCUCCGUGCUGGAGCAAGGGAAUGACUUCAGAGCUGUCACGGCUGUCAUUAGCAAGGAUCGCCUGUACCUCAAACCCUGACAUGAGAAAGAUGGCACCAACAGGCAUGAGAAAUUCAAACAACCUUGAGCCAUUUUAUCCUACAAGGCAACUUUUCAAAAGAAGAUACUUGCAUGGUCUAAGUUAUUUCAGCACCUGAUCAUCACCCAAUAGUCCUUGAGCCAGGGCUUGCUGAUUUGUUACACCAGCAAACAAAAAGAUACUUGUAGACC